rnacentral:rRNA from 1 species
GGGGAAUAUUGGACAACGGGCGCAAGCCUGAUCCAGCCAUACCGCGUGGGUGAAGAAGGCCUUCGGGUUGUAAAGCCCUUUUGUUGGGAAAGAAAUCCAGCCGGCUAAUACCUGGUUGGUAUGACGGUACCCAAAGAAUAAGCACAGGCUAACUUCGUGCCAGCAGCCGCGGUAAUACGUAGGGUGCAAGCGUUAAUCGGAAUUACUGGGCGUAAAGCGUGCGCAGGCGGUUUUGUAAGACAGUGGUGAAAUCCCCGGGCUCAACCUGGGAACUGCCAUUGGGACUGCAAAGCUAGAGUGCGGCAGAGGGGGAUGGAAUUCCGCGUGUAGCAGUGAAAUGCGUAGAUAUGCGGAGGAGCACCGAUGGCGAAGGCAAUCCCCUGGGCCUGCAAUGACGCUCAUGCACGAAAGCGUGGGGAGCAAACA